GGGAAUAUUGGACAAUGGGCGAAAGCCUGAUCCAGCCAUGCCGCGUGAGUGAUGAAGGCCUUAGGGUUGUAAAGCUCUUUCAGUGGGGACGAUAAUGACGGUACCCACAGAAGAAGCCCCGGCUAACUUCGUGCCAGCAGCCGCGGUAAUACGAAGGGGGCUAGCGUUGUUCGGAUUUACUGGGCGUAAAGCGCACGUAGGCGGAUCGUUAAGUCGGGGGUAAAAUCCCGGGGCUCAACCCCGGAACUGCCUUCGAUACUGGCGAUCUUGAGUCCGGAAGAGGUGAGUGGAACUCCUAGUGUAGAGGUGGAAUUCGUAGAUAUUAGGAAGAACACCAGUGGCGAAGGCGGCUCACUGGACGAUUGUUGACGCUGAGGUGCGAAAGCGUGGGGAGC
rnacentral:rRNA from 1 species